rnacentral:rRNA from 1 species
UAUNGGACAAUGGGGGGAACCUUGAUCCAGCNACGCCGCGUGAGUGAAGAAGUAUUUCGGUAUGUAAAGCUCUAUCAGCAGGGAAGAAAGAAAUGACGGUAGCUGACUAAGAAGCCCCGGCUAACUACGUGCCAGCAGCCGCGGUAAUACGUAGGGGGCAAGUGUUAUCCGGCUUUACUGGGUGUAAAGGGAGCGUAGACGGCGAUGCAAGUCUGAAGUGAAAGGCGGGGGCCCAGCCCCCGGACUGCUUUGGAAACUGUAUGGCUGGAGUGCAGGAGAGGUAAGUGGAAUUCCUAGUGUAGCGGUGAAAUGCGUAGAUAUUAGGAGGAACACCAGUGGCGAAGGCGGCUUACUGGACUGUAACUGACGUUGAGGCUCGAAAGCGUGGGGAGCA